CGUUGGAGAGGUGGCUCGGGCGCCCCUGUGAGGGGGCGGCUGCUUCUCGCCCGCUGCGUGGUGCGGAGGGCGCUCAGCCGCUCCAGGCGGAGUUUUCACCUUGGGGCCAAGUCGUUAUGCAGUAAUCGGCAUGCGAGAGGUGCCUGAGUACUUGGUUGAGAGGAAAAGCCGGCUUCUCAGCAGCCCCGUCUCUGAAGGUACAGCUGUUAAGUAUGCAACUGCAGUGGACUUGACAAGCUGGAGAAGCCCAGGAGGCAACUUGUGAAGAAAGAGAACAAGCAGUGGGGUUUGUACUGCUCACAGCUGAGCGCAGUCUGUUUCACUUCCAACACCAAAGGCCCAUGUGAGCUGUGCUAGCCCCUGGCUUGCUUUCAGUGGAUUUCUACACAUUUUGAUGCUGUAGACGAUCUGCCAAUUGGGCUGAAGGCCAGGAGAAAUGGUAAAUGCAAGACUGCAAUGCUCCAUCCUCAGACAAAAAUCAUCAGAUCCCAAGGAAAGUUGCAGUUCCAGCAGGAGUGAGGAAAUAGCAAGCUUUCAAUUAUUUACGCUGUGGCGAUACCUGAAGAGAAAUUCACCAAACAAAAAAAAGGCAGCUGAUUUUCUUUAGAUGCUGCAAGAGACUUCACGAUUCUCUAGAAGGGAGAUAUCGAAGACCAACUUCUCUAUGAAUGUCUCUGCACAACGUGAACAGGAAGAAAGCUAUGAAAGUCUCCUCUCUCUUCACUCUCCUCCUGGCUGCUGCACUUGGCUGCAAUAAGGAUAAAAGCCAAGCUUCAUGUGAUAGUAUCAUGAUUAUUAUUAGUCUUGGAUGAUAUCCCACAAUGACAUCAAGCUCACUGUAACAUGUAAUAACUCAAUAAAAGGAUUAAACUGAACUUAAGCUCUUCCUAACCCUCAAUAUCUAUUGCCCACGUACUUGCAUCGGAAACGGAGAAGACU